UGUGGGGUAGCUCAGUUGUUAGAGCAUGAAAAUAAGAUUCUCAUCUCAGGGUCAUGGGUUCGAGCCCCACGUUGCACAA